CUCAACACCAAGUCUGUGUAAAAAGGAAAUCAACCAUCUCCAUAGAAUUUAAUCCAUGUUUAUGAGAAAAACUCAGUAAAUGUAUAAUUAUUGGAGAAUUAGGAAUGAAAAAUAGAGAUCUGAUUUACUUAGCUCUUUCACUUAAAUAAUGCGGCAAGGGGAGCGAGUUUGGUGGAAUGUAUACUUUACUGUAAUUGAGUGAGGGAAUUAGACCAUUUCGCCCACUCUGAGGACAUCGCGUAAGAACAAGCGCAGGAGCUUGUGCCCUUGUCCAGUGGUCGAGAGGAGUCUUUCCCCUGCUUUGGGACCGCCCUGUCCUCCUCUUCAGCCACUGGUGCUGGUAAAAGUCCAG
rnacentral:lncRNA from 1 species